rnacentral:rRNA from 1 species
GACGAACGCUGGCGGCGUGCUUAACACAUGCAAGUCGAACGGAAAGGCCCUGCUUUUGUGGGGUGCUCGAGUGGCGAACGGGUGAGUAACACGUGAGUAACCUGCCCUUGACUUUGGGAUAACUUCAGGAAACUGGGGCUAAUACCGGAUAGGAGCUCCUGCUGCAUGGUGGGGGUUGGAAAGUUUCGGCGGUUGGGGAUGGACUCGCGGCUUAUCAGCUUGUUGGUGGGGUAGUGGCUUACCAAGGCUUUGACGGUUAGCCGGCCUUAGAGGGUGACCGGCCACCUUGGGACUGAGAUACGGCCCAGACUCCUCAGGGAGGCAGCAGUGGGGAAUACUGCACAAUGGGAGGAAGCCUGAUGCAGCAACGCCGCGUGCGGGAUGACGGCCUUCGGGUUGUAAACCGCUUUCGCCUGUGACGAAGCGUGAGUGACGGUAAUGGGUAAAGAAGCACCGGCUAACUACGUG